CCUACGGGGGGCAGCAGUGAGGAAUAUUGGACAAUGGGCGCAAGCCUGAUCCAGCCAUGCCGCGUGCAGGAUGACGGUCCUAUGGAUUGUAAACUGCUUUUGCACAGGAAGAAACAACAUUACGUGUAAUGUCUUGACGGUACUGUGAGAAUAAGGAUCGGCUAACUCCGUGCCAGCAGCCGCGGUAAUACGGAGGAUCCAAGCGUUAUCCGGAAUCAUUGGGUUUAAAGGGUCCGUAGGCGGUUUAGUAAGUCAGUGGUGAAAGCCCAUCGCUCAACGGUGGAACGGCCAUUGAUACUGCUAGACUUGAAUUAUUAGGAAGUAACUAGAAUAUGUAGUGUAGCGGUGAAAUGCUUAGAGAUUACAUGGAAUACCAAUUGCGAAGGCAGGUUACUACUAAUGGAUUGACGCUGAUGGACGAAAGCGUGGGUAGCGAACAGGAUUAGAUACCCCAGUAGUC
rnacentral:rRNA from 1 species